UGGUUGUCCAACAAAUGAAUUUAAGUUCAACCUUAGGCUAUUACCCAUUAAGCCAUAUUACUCGGCCACAAUCAACCUAAGAUAUAGUCAAUGAGGGCACAGCUUCAUUGAACAGGAUACAACCAUUUUUAGAGACAAACUAUUAAAUUACCUCUUGUAGGCCUUUAAGCAGCCAACAAAAACCAAAUGCGUCACAGCAACCCAACCACACUAAUACCACAAUAUCACCUUCAACUCCUACUUAAUAUUGGACAAAUCUACCCCCAUAGAAAUACCUAUGUUAAAACUAGUAAUAAGAAAAAUUCUCUACCGCACAAGCAAACACUAACAGACAUUCACCUAUUGAACCCAAUAUUCUACAAGAAAAACCUAAUUAUCCAAACUGUUAGCCCAACCCAGGAGUGCAAAAAGAAAGAUUAAAAGUUACAAAAGGAACUCGGCAACCAAGGUCCCAACUGUUUACCAAAAACAUAGCCUUUAGCCCAAUAAGUAUUAAAGGUGACGCCUGCCCAGUGAUUUUUUCAACGGCCGCGGGAUCCUACACCGUGCAAAGGUAGCAUAAUCACUUGUCACCUAAAUAGUGACUAGUAUGAAUGGCCCCAUGAGGACCUUCCUGUCUCUUGUAACCAAUCAAUGAAACUGAUCUUUCAGUUCAAAAGCUGAAAUAAACCCACAAGACGAAAAGACCCUGUGGAACUUCCAAGUAUUAAUCAUCAUCAUGACAAAAUACUUUUAGUUGGGGCAACUUUGGAACAAAACAAAACUUCCAAUCAAUAGACAUCACCACCAUAAUAUAGGUUCACCAACCAAGAUUUUUCUAUAAUCUGACCCAGCACCGCUGAUUAAAGAAACAAGCUACCCCAGGGAUAACAGCGCCAUCCCCUCAUAGAGUCCCAAUCGACGAGCGGGGCUUACGACCUCGAUGUUGGAUCAGGGCCCCCAAACAGUGCAGAAGCUGUUAAUGGUUUGUUUGUUCAACAAGGAUGCC
rnacentral:rRNA from 1 species